GGGCGUAUAGUUUAACAGUUAAAAUGUCGCGCUGAUAACGCGAAGCUGAAAGUGCAAUUCUUUCUAUGCCCA
rnacentral:tRNA from 1 species